rnacentral:rRNA from 1 species
AGAGUUUGAUCCUGGCUCAAGAUGAACGCUGGCGGCAGGCUUAAUACAUGCAAGUCGAACGGUAACGACCGGUAGCAAUACUGGGGCGACGAGUGGCGCACGGGUGCGUAACGCGUAUGCAACCUACCCUCAACCGGGGCAUAACGCCGAGAAAUUGGCGCUAAUAUCCCAUGUGUAUAUGGAGUGGCAUCUCUUCAUAUAUAAAGAUCCGUUGGUUAAGGAUGGGCAUGCGUAACAUUAGCUAGUUGGCGGGGUAACGGCCCACCAAGGCGACGAUGUUUAGGGGUUCUGAGAGGAUUCACCCCCACACUGGAACUGAGACACGGUCCAGACUCCUACGGGAGGCAGCAGUAGGGAAUAUUGGGCAAUGGAGGCAACUCUGACCCAGCCAUGCCGCGUGAAGGAAGACGGCCCUAUGGGUUGUAAACUUCUUUUGCCGCAGAGUAACCGCGGGGACGAGUCCCUGCCUGAGAGUAUGCGGCGAAUAAGUAUCGGCUAACUCCGUGCCAGCAGCCGCGGUAAUACGGAGGAUACGAGCGUUAUCCGGAUUUAUUGGGUUUAAAGGGUGCGCAGGCGGACCGUUAAGUCAGGGGUGAAAAGUUGGGGCUCAACUCCAAUCGUGCCUUUGAUACUGGCGGACUAGAGUGCAGGGGACGUGACUGGAAUGUGAUGUGUAGCGGUGAAAUGCUUAGAUAUGUCACAGAACGCCGAUCGUGAAGACAGGUCACGAAUCUGCAACUGACGCUCAUGCACGAAAGCGUGGGGAUCAAACAGGAUUAAAUACCCUGGUAGUCCACGCUGUAAACAAUGAUCCCUCGUUGUCGGCCGGUUGACGGUCAAUGGCUAACCGAAAACCAUAAGGGACCCCCCCGGGGAAGUACAAACCCCAAAGGUUAAAACCCAAAGGAAAUUGACGGGGGCCCCCCCAACCGGAAGGAACAUGUGGUUUAUUUCCAAAAAACCCCAAGGAACCUUCCCCCGGGCUUGGACAUA